UACGAAGGGGGCUAGCGUUGCUCGGAAUUACUGGGCGUAAAGCGCACGUAGGCGGAUCCUUAAGUCGGUGGUGAAAUCCUGAAGCUCAACUUCAGAACUGCCUUCGAUACUGGGGACCUUGAGUUCGGGAGAGGUGAGUGGAACUGCGAGUGUAGAGGUGAAAUUCGUAGAUAUUCGCAAGAACACCAGUGGCGAAGGCGGCUGACUGGUCCGGUUCUGACGCUGAGGCGCGAAAGCGUGGGGAGCAAACAGG
rnacentral:rRNA from 1 species